UACGUAGGGACCGAGCGUUAUCCGGAUUUAUUGGGCGUAAAGCGCGCGUAGGCGGCCGUUCGCGUCGGAUGUGAAAACUCGGAGCUUAACUCCGAGCCUGCUUCCGAUACGGGCAGACUAGAGGUAGGCAGGGGAGAGCGGAACUCCUGGUGUAGCGGUGGAAUGCGCAGAUAUCAGGAAGAACACCGGUGGCGAAGGCGGCUCUCUGGGCCUUACCUGACGCUGAGGAGCGAAAGCGUGGGUAGCGAACAGGAUUAGAAACCCUGGUAGU
rnacentral:rRNA from 1 species